UGAAACUUAGAAAAGCUGUAUAGAGGGGCAUGGCUCUUACAACCAGUAGAUUUAGAUUUCAGUCUCAGUUCUCAUGCCUGCUCAUCCCUUGCAACUCACCACCCUAAAAUCUGUUUCUUCAUCUACACAGAUAAACAACAUGCUGCUGUGAGAGGUGAAGAAACUUCAAUGUACAAGUGCUCAAUAGAUAUUAAUGAGGUUACUAUUUUGUGUGCUCUGUGGACUACUCAUCUUCUCUUGCUUGGUGAGUUGGUAAAAUGCAUUUCACUGGGUUUAACUCAGAUCAGCAGCAUAAGGCCUAAGAUGUGCAAUUCUUCUGGGUAAAUUUUAGAUGUAUUAAAAUGUAAUAAUUUCUUUGGUAAUUGUUAUAGCUUGUUUAAAUGUUCCCCCAAAGCCUCAUGCAG
rnacentral:lncRNA from 1 species